AUUUGUUUGAAAUGUGAAUAUGGUGGUCUAACGUGGGCUUCUUAGGCCUGCUGCUAUGCUUCCCUUUCAGAGUAACCCAACCACUACCACAUCCCGGCUGCUUGCCAGGAGAAUCAGAACAAAAUCGCCAAUAACAUACUGCUUCGCUGAUGCAAAGGUCCUGGAUUUGGUCCAACCAAUCCCGGCUCUCGUGCGUAAACAUCCUCAUGUCACGAACAUCAUGAUCCAUGUCAGCACCAACAACACCUCCAAGCAGCAGUCACAGGUAUUGAAGUGUGAUUUUAAUAGUUCUCAAAGACUGCAAAAAAAUCUGUUUUUAUCUGCAGCCAAUCCCUUCCUUCAAUCAAGGGAUAAUUUCUGUCUCUUGUUUGCAGACUCAAUCAGCUGCUGUUUUGUUUUUGCCUUUUUAGAUCCUGUUGUUGUUGUCUUUUAGAGUUUUUUUUGUUUUGUUCUGUUAGCAUUUUAGUGAUUGUGAUUAAAGAGACAUUUUAGCAGAACCAAUUGGGUUUUUUACAUAGUUUUCAGCUUUUCUUUUGUAUAACUCUUUCUUUAUCAUCUCCUACAGUGCGGUGAUGGCUGGCUAGCAGUGGAGGCUAGGUACGUUGGGUGGUUCCCCACACCUUUUUGUUGCAGUGGUAGGCGCAUUGGGGAACCAUAGUCUACACCGGUUUGCAGUGUUUGUAGUGAUUUGCAAUGAGUUCACGUGUGGUGGGUAAGUGC